rnacentral:lncRNA from 1 species
AGAUUUGCUUGAUUUCUAGAAGUAAUCAAAAUUUUUAUUUUCUAGAUUGAAAAAGAUUCACCUCCCUCCCUAAUGGAAGGUGACAUGUGAUUUAGGUUGCCCAAGAUGAUAUUAAAGCAUAAUUUGACAUGGAUAAGUGGCUGGGAAACUUCUCAACCUAUCCCAUUCUUCCAACUAUAAGCAAAGAAAUUCCUUAAGUACAUGACGUUUAAUGGUAGUGAUAAGCCUAAUUAUCAUUCAAAAAAUAAUUAUUGAAUUUUGAAUCAUGCGAAGAUUUGCUUGAUUUCUAGAAGUAAUCAAAUUUUUCAUUUUCUAGAUUUAAAAAGAUUCACCUCCCUCCCUAAUCGAAGGUGACAUGUGAUUCAGGUUGCCCAAGAUGAUAUUAAGGCAUAAUUUGACAUGGAUAAGUGGCUGAGAAACUUCUCAACCUAUCCCAUUCCUCGAACUAUAAGCAAACAAAUUCCUUAAGAACAUGAUGUUUAAUGGUAGUGAUAAGCCUAAUUAUCAUUCAAAAAAUAAUUAUUGAAUUUUGAAUCAUGCAAGAUUUGCUUGACUUCUAUAAGUAAUCAAAAUUCUCAUUUUCUAGAUUUAAUUAGAUUCACCUUCCUCCCUAAUCGAAGGUGACAUGUGAUUCAGGUUGCCCAAGAUGACGUGAAGGCAUAAUUUGACAUGGAUAAGUGGCUGAGAAACUUCUCAACCUAUCAAGCAAACAAAAUCCUUAAGGACAGGAUGUUCAAUGGUAGUGAUAAGCCUAAAUAUCAUUCAAAAAAUAAUUAUUGAAUUUUGAAUCAUGCGAAGAUGUGCUUGACUUCUAGAAGUAAUCAAAAUUCUCAUUUUCUAGAUUUAAUAAGAUUCACUUCUCUUAAAAUCAAAAUUUAAUUCAGGAAAGGUUUUUCUUAAUCAAGUGCUUAAUAGGAAAGGGAAAAAUAGAAGGAAACGGAACCAAUAAAAUAGAAGGCCAUGGAAAGAGUUGCAAGUCUGAAGAAAUUUAGGCAAACAUGCUGGACACUGGCUUACUCUUUAUGAAAAUGUAGGACUUGACCUUGCUUUUAUGAAACUACAGCAAUCGUAAUAGAUUGCAUCUACAUGGC